CCUUCGAAAACCCCCCAAACCCUCUCUCUUGAUCGACUCUCCCCUUGUCUCUUUGAUCAAUCUCUCUCCCUCUUCCUCUUCCUCUUACAUUGGCCAGUGACGUUCUACUGCAACCCAGCGGCGCAUCAGCCACAUCGUGACGGAGAUCCGACCAUACCUCAGCAUCUAACAAAUAGGGUUUCUAACCCGGAAGAAAAUAUCCGAAGAAAAGAUAACCGACAGUAUGAAUGAUGACAUAAAAAAUUCAGUUCAUGCAUGCAUUCCUGCUCAGAAUUAUGAAGUUGACAUAUUGCCAAGAUAUAAGGAAGCUUUAUCCCUAGGCUUGAGUUCGUACAAGCAUCACUUGCACAAAACAAAGAUAACUGCAUCAACAGUAUGUGGACAUUUUCACCAAGGCAUCAUCAUCUCACCACUUCAAGCACAUUAUCGGCAAGCCUGGCAUAUAUGAUAUCCAUGCAUCAUCUUGAGAGGGAGUGUUAGAGUACAUGGUGCUUUCUUAUAUGUGCAGACCUCCAUCCCGGCAUAUUCUAGCAUACAUUGCUCUAUGGUACUUCGAAAUACCCUAUACUUUUUGUCUCUUUUGGAUUUAUUUUUUGCUUAUCAUUGUAACGACCUUGAUUAUUAAAAUUCCACACGUUCUCCCCAUUUCCCCUCUUUCUUCCUUUCCCCAUAUUACAGACUGAAAUAAGGAUUAUCUUCACA